UACGUAGGAUCCAAGCGUUAUCCGGAUUUACUGGGCGUAAAGAGUUGCGUAGGUGGCAUAGUAAGUCAGUAGUGAAAUCCUGGGGCUCAACCCCUUCAACAUUAUUGAAACUACUAAGCUAGAGAAUGAGAGAGGUUACUGGAAUUCCAAGUGUAGGAGUGAAAUCCGUAGAUAUUUGGAGGAACACCGAUGGCGUAGGCAGGUAACUGGCUCAUUUCUGACACUAAGGCACGAAAGCGUGGGGAGCAAACGGG
rnacentral:rRNA from 1 species